AGGUCGGUAGUUCAGUUGGUUAGAACACGGGUCCGGUCAACCAAAAACGCCGGUUCGAUGCCGGGCCCGCCCCA
rnacentral:tRNA from 1 species